GGUGCACGGCUUCAGGCAUGGGGCGCGGCUUCAGGCAAGUGGAGGUCCUGUGCCAUUCAGGCAAGGGGAGCGCCUGUGACACUCAGGCACGGAAUGCCCCAUCCUGCACAGGGAGCUCAGUCAGACUCAGGGCAUGCCUUCAGGCAUGGGGUAUGCCUUUAGAGAGUGCUGGUGCCUUUCAGGCAAGGGGAGUGCCUUCAGACAAGGGGAGUGCCUUCAGGCAUUGGAGGCUCUGUCCUGUGAGCACAGAGCCUGGGGUUUCUGUGCUGGGAGUACAGAGCCUGGAGGGGCUUCUUGGGAUUCUAUGUCUCCCUCUCUGUCCUUCCCCAGGAGGCUCUGUGGUGAGAGCAUAGAGCCUGGAGCCUGCUUGGGGUUCUGUGUCUCCCUCUCACUCUUUCCUUCCCCUGGAGUGUCUUCAGGCACUGGGAGUGCCAAUUUCAGGCACUGGGAGUGAUGACUGCAGUCCCUGUGAGUGGAGACUCCAGUCACUGGGAGUAACUGCAGACACUUAGAGUGACUUUGACUUCAGUCUAUGGGAGUGACUAUGACAUCAGUCACUGGGAAUGACUUUGACUUCAGUCACUGGGAGUGACUUCAGGAGUGACUUCAGUCACUGGGAGUGACUUCGGGAGUAACUUCAGUCACUGGGAGUGACUUCGGGAGUGACUUCAGUCAUUAGGGAAUGACUUCGAGAGGGACUUCCCUCACUGGGAGUGACUUCGGGCAUGACUUCUGACUCUGGGAGUGACAUCUGGAGUGACUUCCGUCACUUGCAGUCACUUCGGGAGUGACUUUCAUCACUGGGAGUGACUUCGAGAGGGACUUCCCUCACUGGGAGUGACUUUGGGAUGACUUCCUUCACUGGGAGUGACUUUGUCUUCAGUCACUGGAAGUGACUUUGACUUCAUUCCCUGGGAUUGUCUUUGGGAGUGACUUCAUUCACUGGGCAUGACUUCAGACAUUGGGAGUGACUGACUUCAGUCACUGGGUAUGCCCUCAGGCACUGGGCAUGCCUGUGCCCUUCAGGCAGGGGGCGAGCCUUCUGGCAUGGGUGGAGACUUCAGGCAAGGGGCGAGCCUUCAGGCAAGGGCAAGCCUUCAGACAUUGGACCUGCCUUCAGGCAUGGGACAUGGCUUCAUGCUCGGGGCAUGGCUUUAGGCAAGGGGCUUGCCUUCAGGUAAGGGGCUUGUCUUUAGGCAUGGGGCAUGCCUUCAGGCCCUGGGCAUGCCUUCAGGCACAGGGAGCGGCUUCAGGCAAGGGGCUUGCCUUCAGGUACUGGGAGCAUCUGUGCCCUUCAGGACACUUUCCAUGGAAAGUAACGCUGCACCACUUCUGGCCCCACAUGUGUGUGGUCAUAUCAGAUUUAGGAAUUUUGUCCUCAUCGAGAGAGAGAGAGAGAGAGAGAGAGAGAGAGAGAGAGAGAGAGAGAGAGAGAGAGAGUCUUAGCUAGUGUUUGGGUUUGGGCCAGGGCUGAAUGGACAGGAGACCCGUGAUCACCCUGGAAGGCUGAAGUGAGGGCCCAUGCACUAAUGCGUGUAAGGUUUAGGAUUAUGGUAAGAGUUGGUGUGAACUUUAGGUUGAGGGGUAUGGUGCGGGUCAAGGUUACUGUUAGGUUUAGGUCCCAGGAGGUUCUAGGCAUUGAACCCCUAGCAGUGCAGUGGUCUCCACAUAGGGUUGAAUGGAGACUGCAUGAAAGCCUCUAGUUCAGGCUUCGUCUUUCCAUGCCAGAGCCAGCCUCCCGUGAGUGCCACUCUUCAGUUGGGCCUCAGCACCCUCCUUGUGCAACUCCAUGCCGGCAGUGGAAUUGACAUGAUGAUGUUCCAAUUCCAUACCGAAUAAUACUUCAGGGGUCUGGGCCCUAUGGGCGUGGUGUUCUCAGAAUUAGGAACUCGAUCCCCAUUGGGAGAGAGCCAUCGCUAAGGUUAGGGUAUGUUCCAGCGACAUAAGCACUGCUGAAGCGACACCAGUCCCUUGAGGUACAUAGGGGGCUGAAUAGGGCGCAUGCACAGUUGCAGGUCAGAUGUAGGGUUACGGUUGGAGUUGGUGAGGUUGGUGUGUAUAGUUAUGUUCAUUGUCAUAGUUCUGUUCAUAGUUAUGUUCAUGGUGAGGUUGGUGUGUAUAGUUAUGUUCAUUAUUGGGUUUGGGGUUAAGUCCUAGGUGGCUCCUAGUGAUUAACCAACAGCAAUGCAGUGAGCUUCCCGGAGGGCUCAGUGGAGGGCAUAUUGCAGGUUGUCCGUCAUGCUUAGUCUUUGUUUGCCAGGGCAAGCCUCCAUCAUGGGCCAUUCUUUGAGACUCAGUAACCACUUCUGCAGCAACAUCUGGGCUUUGGAUAUUACAUGGUGAUAUUCCACAUUCCACGCCGAGUAAUACUCCUCCUCCUCUGGACUCCAUGUGUGUGGUAUCCUCAGACUAAAGAAUUGAGUCACCAUCAGGAGAGAGCCUUAGUUUGAGUUAGGGUUUGCUUCAAGGCCAUAAGCAGUGCUGAGGCAACACUACUCACGUUAUCUACAUGGGGUGUUGGAUGAGGGACCAUGCGCACGUGAGGGCUGGUGUAGGAUUAGUGUUAGAGUUGGAGUGAGGUUUAGGUUGAGGAGUACUGUGAGGGUCACAGUUAGGGUUAGGGUCCAGGAGGCCCUAGGUGCUGAAACCCAAGCAGUGCAGUGAUCUCCCUGGAGGGCUGAAGGAGGUCGCAUUGGAGGGUGCCGGCCAGGCUUAGUCUUUAGGGGCUAGGGCCAGCCUUGGAUAUGGACCACACUUUGGUUGGGCCUCAGCAACCCCCUUGUGCAGCUCCCUCUGGGCUUUGGAAAUUACCUCGUCAUGUUCCACGUUCCAUGCUGAGGAAUCCGGCUCCUUUUCUGAACCCCACAUGUGUGGUUUGCACAGAAGUAAGUAUUGGGUCACCAUGGGGAGACAGCCUAAAAUGGAGUUCGGGUUCGUUCAGGGACGUAAGCAGGGCCGAAGCGACAGCAGUCCCGUGAUCUCCCUGGAGGGCUGAAGUGAGGGUCCCUGCGAGGGUGCGGGUCAGUUGUAGGUUAUGUUUAGGGGUGAUGUUUAGGUUGAGGGGUACUUUGAAGGUCAUGGUUAUUGUUAGGUCUCACGAGGCUCUAGGUGCAAAAACCCCAGGAAGGAUGUGGUCUCCAAGAGGGGCUGAGUGGAUCCCACAUGGGAUUGUGCUGAUCAGGCUUUGUCUUUGAGUGCUCGAUCAAGCCUCUUGUGUGAGUCACUCUUCAGUUGGGCCUCAGGAACCCCCUUGUGCAGCUCCUUGUGGGUAAUGGAAAUGACACGAUUAUGCUCCAAGAUCCAUGCCGAGGAAUCCUGCAAAGCUUUGGGCCCCAUGUGUGUGGUCUCUCAGAGUUAGGCAUUGGAUCCCCAUCGGGAUUCAGCCACAACUAGGGUUAGGGUUCGGUCCAGGGAGGCAAGCAAGGCCGAAGAAUCAGCAAUCCCGUUACCUACAUGGAGGUUUGAAUGAGGGCCCAUGCGCGGGUGAGGGUCCGGUGUAGGGUGUCAGGUGAAGCCUUAGAGCUGGGGUGAGGUUGAGGUUGAGGAGUAUGUUGAUGGUCACGUUUACGGUUUGGGUUAGGUUCCAGGAGGUACGAGGUGCUGUACCCCAAGGAGUCCAGUGGUCUCACUGGAGGAAUCAGUGGACGGCAAAUGGUAGGUUGCCCUCAGGCUUAGUCUUUGGGUGCCGAAGCCAGCAUCAGUUGUGGGGCAAUCUUCGGAUGGGCCUCAGCAAACCCUUUUUGCAGCUUCCUCUGGGCUUUGGAAAUUACCUGUCAAUGUUCCACGUUCCAUGCGAGUAACGCUGCAGCGCUUCUGGGCCCCAUAUGUGUGGUGACUGAGACUUAGGAAUUUGUUCCUCAAUGGGAGAGAGCCAAUACUAGGGUUAGGUAUCGGCCCAGGGAUGUAGAUAGGGCCAAAUCCACAUGAGUCCGUGAUCGUUCUGGAGGACUCCAUAGGGCCCAUGCUUCGGUGUGGGUCAUGUGUAGGGUUAGCGUUAGAGUUGGUGUGAAGUUUAGGUUGAGGUGUAUGGUGAGGGUCAAGUUUAGUGUUAGGGUUAGGUCCCAGGAGUUUCCAGGCAGUGAACGCCUAGCAGUGCAGUGGUCUCCACAGAGGGCUGAGUGGAAGCUGCAUGCAAGUCUACAGUUCAGACUAAUUCUUUGCAUGCCAGGGCAGCAUCCUAUUGUGACACUCUUCAGUUGGGCCUCAGCAACCUCUUUAUGCAGCUCCAUCCCAGCAGUGCAAAUGAAAUGAUGAUGUUCCAAUUCCAUCCUGAAGUAUACUGCAGGGGUUUGGACCCUAUGUACAUGGUGUUCUCAGAGUUAGGAACUGUAUCCCCAUUGGGGGGAGCCAUAGCUAGGGUCAGGAUUCGGUCCAGGGACAUAAGGAGGGCCGAGGUGACACCAGUCCCAUUAUCUACAUGGAGGGCUGUAUGAGAGCCCAUGCAGGGGUGCAGGUCAGGUGUAGCGUUACCUUUAGAGUUGGGGUGAGGUUGAGGAUAAUGUGUAUGGUUCUGGUCAAUAUAAUGGUUAGGUUUUGUCCCAGGUCCCCCAGACGCUGAAGCACCAGCAGUGCUGGUCUUCCUGCAGGGUUCAGUGGUGAGCACAUGGGAGGGUGUAGGUCAUGCUUAGUCUUUGAGAGCCAGGGUGAGCCUCCUUUGUGGGCCACACUUUGGUUGAGCCUCAGGAACUGCUUCUGAAGCAACAUCUGGGCUUUGGAUAUUACAUGGUGAUAUUCCACGUUCCAUGCCUAGGAAUCCGCCUCUUCUUCUGGAAGGGAGGUAUCCUCAGACUUAAGAAUCGGGUCACCAUCUGGAGAGAGCUUUAGAUAGAGUUCGGUUUCAGACCAGGGCCAUAAGGGGGGCCACAGCUAACCCGUUCCACUUACCUCCAUGGGGUGAUGAAUGAUAGCCAGUGUGCAGGUGAGGGUCAGCUGUAGGGUUAGCGUUAGUGUAGGAAUGAGUUUGAGGUUCAGGGUAUGGUGAGGGUCAUGGUUAGUGUUAGGGUUAGGGCCCAAGAAAUUCCAGGCGGUGAACCCCUAGCAUCACAGUGGUCUCCACGGAAGGCUGAGUGGUGGCUGCAUGGGAGCCUUCAGUUCAGACUUAUUCUUUGUGUUUCAAGGCCAGCCUCUUGUGUGUGCCACUAUUCAUUGGGUCUCAGUAGCCUCCUGGGGCAGCUCCAUCCCAGCAGUGGAAACGAAAUGAUGAUGCUCCACUUCCAUACCGAAUAAUACUGUAGGGGUUUUGACCUAUAUGCGUGGUGUUUCAGAAUUAGGACCUGGAUAUCCAUUGGGAGAGAACCACGGAUAGGGUGAGGUUCUGUCCAGGGACAUAAGCAGGGCUGAAGAGACACCGGUCCCAUUAUCUCCAUAAGGGCCUGUAUGAGGGCCAAUGCACGGGUGAGGGUCAGGUGUAGGGUUAGCAUUAGCGUUGGGCUGAGGUAUAGGUUGAGUAGUAUGGGGAGGGUCACAGUUGGGGUUAGGGCUAGGUUCCAGGAGGCCCAAAGUGCCGAAUCCAUGGCAGUGCAGUUGUUUCCCUGGGGGACCCAGAGGAGGGUGCAUGGGAGGGUGCCGGUCAUGCUUAUUCUUUGGGUGCCAAGGCCAGCCUCUUGUGUGGACCACUCUUCGGUUGGUUCUCAGCAACCCCCUUGUGCAGGUCCCUCUGGGCUUUGGAAAUGGCAUGGUGAUGUUCCCCGUUCCAUGCCAAGUAAGCCUGCACCGCAUCUGGGGCCCAUGUGCGUGGUUUUCUCUGAGUUAGGAAUUGGGUCCCAUCGGGAAUGAGCUGUAGCUAGGGCAAGGGUUUGAUCCAGGGAUGGGACGUAAGCAAGGCCGAAGGAACAACAAUCCUUUACCCCCAUGGAGGGCUGAAUGAGGGCUCAUGCACGGAUGCGGGUCACGUGUAGGGUUAGCGUUAGACUUAGGGUGAAGUUCCGAUUGAGGAUUAUGGAGUGGGUCAUGAUUAGGGUGAGGGAUAGCUCCAAGGAGUCCCCAGGUGAUGAACCCCAUGCAGUGCAGUGGUCUCCUGGGAGGGCUCAGUGGAGGGCACAUGGGAGGGUUCUGGUCAGGUUUAGUCUUUGGUUACCAGUGCCAGCCUUGCAUGUGGGCCACUUUUGGGCCUCAGCAAGCACUUUGGCACCUCCCUCUGGUAUUUGGACAUGACAUGGUGGUGGUCCACGCUCCAUGUGGAGUAAUCCUGCACCGCUUCUGGGCCACAGGUGCGUGAUAUUCUCUGCAUUAGGAAUUGGAUCCCCAUCGGGAUAGAGAAAUAGCUAGGGUUAGAGUUAGAUCCAGGGACAUAAGCAAGGCCAAAGCAACAACAAUCCAUUUAUCUACAGUGAGUAUGAAUGAGGGCCAUGUGCGGUAGCUGGUCAGGUGUAGGGUUAGUGUUAGAAUUGGGGUGAGGUUUUGAUUGAGGAAUACGGCGAGGAUCAUGGUGAGGGUUAGGGGUAGGUUCCAGGAGGCGCUUAAGUGCAGAAACCUAAGUAGUGCAGUGGUCUCCUAGAGGGUUGAGUGGAGGGUGCAAAGGAUGGUGCCAUUCCUUCUUAGUCUUAGGGUGUCAAGGCCAUCCUUGGGUGUAGGACACUCCUUAGUUGGGCCUCAGCAGAGCCCUUGUUCAGCUCCCUCUGGGCUUUGGAAAUGACAUGGUGAUGUUCCAGGUUCCAAGCCGAGUGAUUUACACCAUGAGCGUGCUGUUGUCAGUCAUUGGAAUUGGGUUCCCAUGAGGAGGAGACUUAGCUAGGGUUAGGGUUCAUUGCAGGGACAUCACCAGGCCAGACUGACUCCAGUCUCGUGAAUUUCAUGGAGGGCUUAAGUGAGAAACCUUGUGAGGGUACGGGUCUGGUAUAGAGUUAGUGUAAGAGAUAGGUUUCGGUUUAGGUUGAGGGCUAAGUUCAGGGUUCUGGUUACGGUUGGGGUUAGGUCCCAGGAGGCUCCAGAUGCUGAACCCACAGCAGUGCAGUGGUCUCCCUGAAGUGCUGACUGGAGUACACAACGGAUGCUGCGGGUCAGGAUUAGUCUUUCGGUUGCCAGGCCAGGCAACUCUUUCUGGCACUCUUCGGGUAAGCCUCAGGAAUGCUCUCGGGCACAACGGAGGCUGCCGGUCAGGAUUAGUCUUUGGGUUCCAAGGCUAGACAAGUGUAUUGGACACUCUUUGGGGGAGACCUCAGGAAUCCUCUUAUGCAGCAGCAGCCGGGCUUUGGAAAUGACAUGGUGAUGUUCCACGUUCCACGCCGAGUGAUCCUGCACUGCUUCUCGACCCCAUGUGCAUUCUGUUGUCAGACAUUGGGAUUGGGUACCCAUGGAGAGUGAGUUUUAGCUAGGGUUAGGAUUCAGUGCAGGGAUGUGGCCAGGGCCAAAGGACUCCAGUCUCGUGAUCUCCCUCGAGGGCUGAAGUGAGGGCACAUGCGCUGGUGUGGGUCUGGUGUAGAGGUAUUGUGAGAUAUAUGGUCAGGUGAGAUUGAGGGUUAUCAUCAGGGUUAUGGUUGGGGUUAGGGUAGGUCAAAGAAGGAUCCAGGCGCUGUACCCACAGCAGUGCAAUUGUCUCCCCGAAGGGCUGAGUCAGUACACAAUGGAGGCUGCUCGUCAGAAUUAGUCUCUGGGUUCCAAGGACGGACAACUCUAUAAGGUCUGAUGUAGAUAGGUGGGUCUAGUGUGAUAGAAACUGUUAGAUUUAGGUUGAGGGUUAUGGUUAGGGUUACGGUUAGGUUUAGAGUUAGGUCCCAGGAGUCUCCAGGCGUUGAACCCACAGCAGUGCAGUCGUCUCCUGGAAGAGUUGAGCGGAGUGCACAAUGGAGGCUGCCAGUCAGGAAUAGUCUUUGGUUUCCAAGGCCAGACAACUGUAUUGGGCACUCUUCAGUUAGGCCUGUUGAAUCCUCGAGUGCAGUGGCAGCCGGGCUUUUGAAAUGACAUGAUGAUGUUCCACAUUCCACACCAAGUAUUCCUGCACUGCUUCUCAAUUCCAUGUGUGUGCUGAUGUCAGACUGUGAAUUGGGUCCCCAUGGGGAAGGAGCCUUAGCCAGGGUUAGGGCUCGGUGCAGGGAAGUCACCAGGGCUGAAGCAACUCCAGUCUAGUGAUGUCCCCCAAGGGCUGACCUGAGAUCCCAUGCAAGGGUGCGUCUCAAGUGUAGGGUUAGGGUUAGAAACAGGGUUACGAUUAGGUUGAGAGUUAUGGUUAGGGGUACAGUUAGGGUUUUCUUCGUUCCCAAGGCUCCAAGCGCUGAACCCACAGCAGUGCAGUUGCCUCCACAAAUGACUGAGUGGUAUGCACAACAAGGCUGCGGGUCAGGAUUAAUCUUUGGGUUCUAAGGCCAGACAACUGUAUCUGGUCUGGUGUAGAUAGGUGUGUCUAGUGUGAGUGAUAGGGUUAGGUUUAGGUUGAGGGUUAGCAUUGGGUCCUGGUUAGCAUUAGGGUUAGGUCCCAGGAUGUUCCAGGCACUGAAACCAUAGCAGAGCAGUUGUCUCCCCAAAGGGCAGAAGGGAGUACACAAGGGAGGGUGCUGGUCAGGAUUAGUCUUUUGGUUCCAAGGCCAGACAACUGUAUGGGCCACCCAUCGUUUAGGCCUCAGGAAUCCUCUUGUGCAGCUGCAGCCGCGCUUUGGAAAUACAUGGAGAUGUCCACAUUCAAUGCUGAGUGUUCCUGAACCGUUUCUGGUCCUGGUGUGUGUGCUGUUAUUAGUCUUUCGAUAUGGAUCCCCAUGGGAAGAGGGCCUUAGGUUAUAGUUUUAGAUUUAGCGGGUAGAGUUAGAGCGUUAGGAUGAGGGUUUUAGGGUUAGAAUUAGAGGCUUAGGGUUAGAGGGUUAGGGUAAGGUUAGGAUUAGUUCGGGUUAUGUUUAUGUUUACGGUUAGUUAGAGGUAGGGCUAGGGUUAGGGGAAGGGUAGGGGCAGGAUUUAGCAUUAGGGUUAUGGUUAGGGUUAGGUGUUAGGUUUAGGUGGUGGGAUUUUGUUUAGUGAUAGGGUUAGGAGUUGGGCAAGGAGUAGGUCAUGCUUGCAUCCCCACUUUGAGCGGGAAGGUGUUCAUGCGUGGACACCGCCCUCCAUGUUCAAGGGAUUGUGUUCUUGCUAUCGCCCCAGUCUCUCGACUGUAGGUUGUUCUUGCCUCGCCCAUUCCAGCUUUGCUCUGGAGUUUUUCACACCGUCACCCCACCCCCUCUCAGUAUGGUAAUAUUUCACGUUCCACCCAAUCGCUUUUGGUGCAAGGGGUGUGUUCACACAUGCGACCCUCCACACCCUCUACGUGCGAUGGUGUCACCCAUGAGCCUCACAGCUCCUUAGAUUGGGAUUACUGAUGCCAGGAUUAAAUCUGAUACUGAUGCCAGUAUUAAAUCAUGAAUAUCUAUUUUCAGUUUCACAACUGAAGAAGUAGGCGUUUCUUAAGGUAAGGUUUAUGGUUAGGAUUAAUGUUAGGUGUCCGUUAAGGUUUAGGGCAUGGUGCACCCCCCUUGGUGUGGGAUGGCUUCACGAAUGUGUCCCAUCUGCUUCCCUUUAUCUGCCAUGUAGCAGUGAUAUUCCUUUUAAUUCAGAUGUUUUCCUUGGCACCUGGAUGUCUCUGAGUUAAGCGUCCCACUUCGUCUUGGUUCAUGAUCUCUCAGUUUCUGGUUUUGAGCCCCCUGGGUAGCUUCUGUGCUGAUAGCUGGGAAUCUGGAGCCUGCUUCAGAUACUAUCUGUCUCUCUCUCUCUCUCUGCCCAUGCCCCACUUGUGUUCUUUGUGCCUUUCAAAAAUUAAUGUACCUAAAAGCAUUUUCAAUCCGAUAUUUCCUGGAUGGCUCUUUUCACUUUCAUUGCUGAAGAAGCAGGCGUCUGUCUCGUUCAUUGUUCUUUUGUUAUCUUUGGCAUAGCUGACAACAUAUACGACAUUUCCCCAGCCAGCAUCGGGGAUGCGCAGCAUUUCUUCUACCAGCCGGACACCUCUCAUCCACUGUAACACUGCAUUCCUCUAGAGCAUCCCACAUGCUCUCGGAAACUGGACUGUAACUGUGGAUGGUAGCAGUGUCCCAUAGUCUUCUGAUGGUAUUUCAGGAGGUUCUUCAUUCGCAUCUUUGGUUACCUGAGUGUCUUCUGACAUCUCUCAUGUUUCCACUAGGCCGCUGCUAUGAUGCUCAACAGGGAACCUGAAGCACACUGGGAUUCAGGAGCAGACCAACUACCACUUGGCUCCCACAAAUGGUCGCCUUGGAACUCUUUAUGGAAGAGGAGAAAACACCCACCACCACCGUUUCAUAACCCUGCACCGAAUGUGGAGACAACAAUCACCCACCCCCAAAGGAAACUCUAGCAGGGUACAUGUAUCAAACCUAAGGUGUUGGUUAUGUAUUUUGGAUCAAUAAGUGAGGUUGUACUUUUGACUGGUAAGUGUACAUCUAAAUCCCUCAGAGGGGAUAUUCUCUGAGGUCACCCCAACCUAAAUUGUUGGCCCAUGGGGAGAUGUGUUGUCCCUACUGAUUGUAUUGAUGUUGUCUCUGUAGGCCAGUGAAUUAAAGCUCCAUAGGGUCUUGUCCUGUUCUUGCCUCUUCACGGGAAGGUCCAUUUCACCUAUUGAAAAAGACAGCAAGGGAGUAGUGUUGGCACUAUUAAAUCUGACGUUUCAUGAAUGAGUCUUUUCACUUUCAUGGCUGAAGAAGCAGCAUCUCUUAUGAUGAGGGUUAGGGUUUGGAUUAUCCUGAGGAUUAGGGUAAGGGUUAAGUCAUGCUUGCACCCCCGUUUUGACAAGGGAGGAAGGUCACACCUGACCCCCGCCACCCUCCUUGUGGAAGGGUGUUCAGGCAUGCAGCCUGCCUCCCCUCCACAAGGGAGUAGUGAUGCCACUACUUAAUGUGUUGUUUCAUGAAUGGCUCUUUUCCCUUUCACAGCUGAAGAAGCAGGCAUUUCUUAAGGUAAGUGUUAUGGUUAGGAUUGCCGUUCAUGGUUAGGGUAAGGGAUAGGCCAUGCCUGCACCCUCCCUUGGAGUGGGAGGGCGUUCACACAUGAGCCACGCACCCCCUCAUCUCGGGAGGGUGUUCACCAAUAGGAACCAGUCCCCUUCAGCGGGGGGAUGUUGAUGUAUGCGCCUGCACCCAUCUCGUGUGCGAGGGUGUUCAUGCAUGGACACCACAACCCUUGGCGAGGGAGGGCAUUUGUCCAUGCACCAUGCCCUCCUUGCCUCAGGAGGUGUUCACGCAUGAGCACAGUGCCCCCUUGGCUUGAGAAGGUGUUCAGGUAGGUGCAUGAACCUGCCCCCCAGCGUGGGAGGGGGUUCACGCAUGUGCCCUCCCCCCUCAGGCGCUGGAGGGGUCACAUGUGCACAGCACCACUAGUCAGCAAGGGAGUAGUGGUGCCACUAUUAAAUCUGACGUUUCAUGGACGGCUGUUUUCACUUUCACAGCUGAAGAAGCAUGCAUCUCUUAAGGUCAGGGGUAGGGUUAGCAUUACAUUUAGGGGUUAAGAUAAGAGCUAGGUCAUGCUUGCUCUCCCCCCUCAGCACGGGAAGACUUCACGCAUCACCCCACUAUCCUGAGCAAGGGAGAGUGUUCACCUUUUCACCCCAAUCCCUGAGAGUGGUAAAAUAUUGAAGCACGUGCUCCACUCCACUUCCUUUGGGGAGGGCUUUCACACAUGCGUAGAUCCCCCCUUCAGGACAGAUUGUUCACAUAUGUGCAUGACCACCUGUCGGGUCGGGAGGGUGUUCACUCAUGGGCACACCCCACCUCUGCAUGGGAGAUGGUUCAUGCAUGUGUCUUGCUCACCUCUGCAGGGAGGGUUUUUACGCAUGUGCACAGCCCCACCUUGGUGUGGGAGGAGGUCACCCAUGCAGAGCGCCACCCUUCAAUGAGGAUAUAGUGAUGCCAUUAUUAAAUGUGAUGUUUCAUGAAUGGUUCUUUUCAAUUUCACAGCUGAAGUAGCAGACAACUCUUAAGCUGAAGAAGCAUGCAUCACUUAAGCUGAAGAAACGCGGCCAGGGAGGGCGUUGACGUAUGCUCCCCGCUCCCCUCGCCAGGAUGCUGUUCACGCAUGUGCAAAGUCCCCCCCCCUUGCCAAAGGGGGUUCAAGCAUGCCCACAACCCCCGCUCUGUGAGGCAGACCAUUUGUACAGGCACACAACCCUCCCUCAGCAAGGGAAAGUGUUCAUGCUUGGCCCCACUCACUUCGGUGGGAAGGGUGUUCACACAUGCACAUAACCCCCCUCAGCAUUGGAGGGCGUUCAAAAAUGUGCCCCACCCUACUUGACGCCAGAGGUGGUUCAGGAUUCUGCCUUGCCCCUGGUUGGUGUGUGAGAUGGUCACCCAUGCACAGUGCCACCUUUUAGGGAGAGAGUAGUGGUGUCACUAUUAAAUGUGAUAUUUCACGAAUGGUUCUUUCACUUUCACAGCUGAAGAAACACACAUCUCUUAAGGCUUGCAUCUUCCCUCUACCUCUAUACUCCAAGUUCCUGGCUGGCACUGGAAUUACAUCUUUAGCACGGACAUCAUAACCUCCAGGUGAGAUUCAGGCUUGUUUCCGGGAAGAAACCCUGACAGAAAUUCAGAAGAACAGGAGCUGCAUUCCAUUAGGACAUGAAUACAUGAAAUACUCGUCUUGGGAACUCCUAGAAGAAUGAGCUGGGACCCACUUUCGAGUCCUGCUAGAACCAGUGACCGAGAAAAUAAAAACGCCCUGGUAGACAAGUGUGAUGCAUUGAGGUCUGUGAAAGCCACAAAGGAAGCAAAAGUCAAACAGCUGAAGGAGAAAGCACAUAACCUAGAAGAAUUCUAUGAACGAAGAAAAGUGCCUACAAAAAAGAAGCUGAAAAUGACACUGUGAACUGGCGGCAAAGAAGAAUCAGCUAGCAGCUGCAGAUCUCAAGUAGUGACCAGACUGUGUGGAAACUUUGUCCAUGCUAACAUUCCUCGGGGGUGGUGUCAAUUGUCGUCAUCUGUAGGAAAGCAGUGUGUCGUACAAUGAAUCAUACCCAUCAACGUGGUAGUGCCAUUUCAUGGCCCUCGUCUUUGCAACCCUGGGAAACAUGGCAACAAAUUGAACAAACACGGGAACAGCUGCAGCAGGCAGAGCUCACCUUUAGAUACCAGUUCACGAGAUGAAUGCUCAGGACAACUAGAUCAAGACUCAGAUCUGGGACAGGGAGAUGGCGGAGCAGGGCAGGGAGGUCGCUUACUUGAAAUACAGACUGGACGGGAUGAAAGCAAAGAGGCUGCCUGAGGGAUACACGAGGCAGAAACCAAUGGCUGCAAGACCAGAGAAGCAGAACCCUCCGAGGAGAGGGCAGUCUGGAUCCUGGGGACUUCCUCCGUUAACUGGAUGAUUCUGCAUGCCCCACCCCCAUGGACUAUUAGGCACAUCCACCUCCUGAACCUUGGUGGCCCUGGGGCCACCCGGAACCCCUCCACCUGCAACACUUGGAUUUUUUGCAGGUCCAGAAGUAGAUGUCACAACCAAGAGUGACAUCGACACUGGCUCUGCCAAAACUGCCGAGAAGCACAAAGUAAAUGCUGUGGCCAUUUUCAGUUCUAAGUCUUUACGGACAGCCACAUCUUUCUGUACAGGACACUCUCUUGCCAUUGUCUCUGGUUUGUGUGAAGUAUGGUCUGUCUGUUGUUUUUGUUUUUUUCCCAAAUGCAAAACCUUUACCGCCGAGUCUAUGGGCUUCCCUGUUUUCCAGCUGGCAUCUGUUUGUGGUAACUUGAGCAGCUAAGCGUGCCUAAAGGUGGGGAUCAUAGGGCUUUUCCAAUGUAUUCCUGGAAUAAAUCAAGGAUGAUGACACCACAUUCCA